GAUGAAGAACGUAGCGAAAUGCGAUACGUAAUGUGAAUUGCAAAUUCAGUGAAUCAUCGAGUCUUUGAACGCACAUUGCGCCCCCUGGUAUUCCGGGGGGCAUGCCUGUCCGAGCGUCAUUGCUGCCCUCAAGCACGGCUUGUGUGUUGGGCCCCGUCCUCCGAUUCCGGGGGACAGGCCCGAAAGGCAGCGGCGGCACCGCGUCCGGUCCUCGAGCGUAUGGGGCUUUGUCACCCGCUCUGUAGGCCCGGCCGGCGCUUGCCGAUCAACCCAAAUUUUUAUCCAGGUUGACCUCGGAUCAGGUAGGGAUACCCGCUGAACUUAAGCAUAUCAAUAAGCGGAGGA
rnacentral:misc_RNA from 1 species